GCGGAAGUGGCGAAAUUGGUAGACGCACCAGAUUUAUGUUCUGGCGCCGCGAGGCGUAAGAGUUCAAGUUUCUUCUUCCGCACCA
rnacentral:tRNA from 1 species